UGGGACCCAGGAAACCAUCCUCUUGAACC
rnacentral:piRNA from 1 species